UGCGUAGGCGGAAUAUUAAGUCAGUGGUGAAAUCCUGCGGCUCAACCGUAGUACUGCCAUUGAUACUGAUAUUCUUGAAUGUAGUUGAGGUAGGCGGAAUGUGUAAUGUAGCGGUGAAAUGCUUAGAUAUUACACAGAACACCGAUUGCGAAGGCGGCUUACUAAACUAUAACUGCCGCUGAGGCACGAAAGCGUGGGGAGCGAACAGGAUUAGAUACCCUGGUAGUCC
rnacentral:rRNA from 1 species